GUAUCUGUUCCGCAUUUCCAAACAGUCUAUAUCGAUAAUUAUUCCUGAAGUUUGUGAAGCCAUCAUUGACCUGUUAAAUGAUUAUGUAAAGAAACUGGGACUGCGAUGAAUUGGAGGCUAGAUGAGCAGACGGUGAUGUCUGUGGAAUUGGAGCUGGAUAAUUUUGAGGUUGUAGAGACUGGGAGUGUGAUGAAGUGGAUGCUAUUGGUGUGCCAGGGUGCCGUCAACUAAAGAAGAAUGGCGUACAGUUUCUCAGCAAUUCGAGAAUAAGUGGAAUUUCCCACACGUGAUAGGAGCGAUGGACGGCAAACACGUCGCUAUACAAUCGCCUUUUAAUAGUGGCAACGACUUUGAUAAUUACAAAUUAUUUCCUAGUAUUGUUCUUUUUGCAUUAGUAGAUGCAAAUUAUAGGUUCCUGUAUGUGAAUGUUGGGACUAAAGGCAGAAUAUCAGAUGGAGGCGUGUUCAAAAGCACAAAUUUAUAUAAAAAACUUGAAAAAAAAGAGCUAAAUAUUCCUCCACCGGAGAUAUUGCAAGUUCCCUAUAAAAUUGAGGUACCCUAUUAUAUACUAGGUGAUAAAGCUUUUCAGCUUAAUGAUUAUACUAUGAAACCAUACGAUGGUACACGGGAAAGGGGUUCUUGUGAAAGAAUUUUCAACUACCGACUGUCAA